CUCAGUCGGUCGGUGGGGGGGGCGGGGGCCUCCUCAGUCGCCAUGUUGAGAGCGCCGUGUCGCGGACUCGCUUGACCUUCUCAAGGUGGCGGCAUAAAGGGCGGAUAAAUCGAGGUGCCCCCUCCAUGCCGGAGAGUGGCAGAAAGGUCCCUGCUGCUUGCCCUGUCCUCGGUGGGCAGAGAGCUCUGACCUCCGCCGGAUGGGCUGCCGAUUCUGACGUGCUCACCAGAGAUCUGCCUGGGAGGAAAAGCAGAGCCAAGCACUGAGAACUGACAAGUGAGCUCCGGUGAGGACUGCCGCUCCCCCUGCCUUGGUGUGGGACCUCCUGAGCUCCCCUUCCUGUGCUGGGAGUGUUUCUCCUCUCAUCCAGCCAAGCCAGAGACCUCCUAGGGAACAAGCAGGGAAGGUUUGAGCACCGAGAUCUCCCAAGUAAGAAGUGACGUGACAAAAGGAAAUGGCCUCAAGUUGCAGCAGGGAAGGCUUAGGUUGGAUUUGAGGAGAAAUUUCUUCACUGGAAGGGUGGUCAGGCCUAGGAGCAGGCUGCCCAGGGAAGCCCCCAUCCCUGGAGACAUUUCAAGGGUGUCCAGAUGUGGUGUUUAGGGACCUGGUUUGGGAGGGGCUUGGCAGUGCUGGGGCACCAGCUGGGCUCAGUGACCAUAGAAGGCUUUUCCAACCUAAAGGAUCCUAUGGUUCUGAACAGCCUUGACCCCUCUGGCUCAAAGACAGCACCUGGAUGUGGAGGGAGGGAGGGAAAUUCUCUCUUCACAUGUGCCAGUUCAUCUGUGAAACUCAUCCCGGCAGGACAGCGCGAAGACUGAAAGAGUAAGAAGAUGUGGGGUGCAGUGGAGAAUGUGGCAGGAGCAUCCAACACACAAGUGCACUAGUUUUGCUUUUUGCUUGGAUUGAAACUCAGAAGUUGUAAGGAGUUUGGGAAUGAGAUGGGAUGUUUGAGAAGAAGAGGAAGGAGGAGAAGAAGCAGAAAAAAUUAUUGUUACAGUCCUGGCAAAAUCUUUUGUUCUAGCUAAUAAAAGAAGUUUGAAAAAAAAAAAAAGCAAAAAAUGUGGUUUCUUUCAUUCAAUAUUAUAUUCUUUGGUGGUAUAUGGUGUGUUGUUUUAUUUCGUGGUAUUAUGAACUCUGUGUAAUUUGUUUUUUGAGUGAGGCUAACUUUAUAGAUGGGUUGGUUUUUAUUUGAGGUAGGAUUAAUUUCAGUAGGUUUCUUUAUUAGACUUGGGAUCUUUUUGGGAUUUUGGUUUUCUUUUUUGUAUGUAUAAACAAAGAGAUUUGGUAGGGCUAGCUCGGCUGCUGGAGUUUUGGGUGUUAAUUUAUUAGAUGGCUUUUGUUAGAUGCAGUUUUUAAUUUUUGAAAGUUUUUUUAAAAAGGUAGUGGUUUUAAGGUGUUUUUUAAGAAUUGAUUGUAUUGUUUCAUGCUCUUUGUAGUUGGUGUACGAUAAGGGAUAUGGUGUACUGCUUGAGUGUUACUGUUUUAGUGUUCCUAUGUU